GCACUGCUGACGAAUCCAAACAGGACGAAACAGCUGUCCAGUGC
rnacentral:hammerhead_ribozyme from 1 species